rnacentral:rRNA from 1 species
AUUGAACGCUGGCGGCAUGCCUUACACAUGCAAGUCGAACGGUAACGCGGGGCAACCUGGCGACGAGUGGCGAACGGGUGAGUAAUGCAUCGGAACGUGCCCGGUAGUGGGGGAUAACUGCUCGAAAGAGCAGCUAAUACCGCAUACGACCUGAGGGUGAAAGGGGGGGAUCGCAAGACCUCUCGCUAUCGGAGCGGCCGAUGUCGGAUUAGCUAGUUGGUGGGGUAAAGGCCUACCAAGGCGACGAUCCGUAGCUGGUCUGAGAGGACGACCCGCCACACUGGGACUGAGACACGGCCCAGACUCCGACGGGAGGCAGCAGUGGGGAAUUUUGGACAAUGGACGCAAGUCUGAUCCAGCCAUGCCGCGUGCGGGAAGAAGGCCUUCGGGUUGUAAACCUCUUUUGUCAGGGAAGAAAUCUUCUGAGUUAAUACCUCGGGAGGAUGACGGUACUUGAAGAAUAAGCACCGGCUAACUACGUGCCAGCAGCCGCAGUAAGAC